UUUUAUGUAGUGGUUUAGUUGAAACAAAACUGUAUCUGCAGUCUCUCCAUUUUAAACAUUUUUACAUUUGUUCCUAAGGACAUCUUUAGUAGCUAUCAUUCAGACCACUACUAGACCUUUCCUAUUACUCUCCUGUAAUGUUGGCAGGAAUGAUUGUUUUAGUCUUCCCUUCCUUCAAGAUAUAAAGCCCUACCUAAAGACAUUUAUUGGGAUGAGUUGCUAUAACUAAUUUAACUUUAAUAGGAG